GACGAACGCUGGCGGCGUGCUUAACACAUGCAAGUCGAACGGUGAAGCGCCUUCCUUUUUGGUGGGUGUGGAUGAGUGGCGAACGGGUGAGUAACACGUGAGUAACCUGCCCCCUUCUUCUGGAUAACCGCAUGAAAGUGUGGCUAAUACGGGAUAUUCUGGGUCUGUCGCAUGAUGGGUCUGGGAAAGAUAUUGUUUCGGUGGGGGAUGGGCUCGCGGCCUAUCAGCUUGUUGGUGGGGUGAUGGCCUACCAAGGCGGUGACGGGUAGCCGGCCUGGGAGGGUGGGCGGUCACACGGGGACUGAGCCACGGCCCAGACUCCUACGGGAGGCAGCAGUGGGGAAUAUUGCACAAUGGGCGCAAGCCUGAUGCAGCGACGCCGCGUGAGGGAUGGAGGCCUUCGGGUUGUGAACCUCUUUCGCCAGUGAAGCAGGCCUGCCUCGUUUGUGGGUGGGUUGACGGUAGCUGGAGAAGAAGCGCCGGCUAACUACGUG
rnacentral:rRNA from 1 species